UACGUAGGGUGCAAGCGUUGUCCGGAAUUAUUGGGCGUAAAGAGCUCGUAGGCGGCCGGUUGCGUCUGCUGUGAAAUCCCGGGGCUUAACCCCGGGCGUGCAGUGGAUACGGGCUGGCUGGAGGCAGGCAGGGGAGAAUGGAAUUCCCGGUGUAGCGGUGAAAUGCGCAGAUAUCGGGAGGAACACCGGUGGCGAAGGCGGUUCUCUGGGACGGUACUGACGCUGAGACGCGAAAGCGUGGGGAGCGAACAGG
rnacentral:rRNA from 1 species